rnacentral:lncRNA from 1 species
AAAAUUAAAAAAAAAAAAAAAAGAAUAAUGAGAUCUCCCAGGGACCAGUACAGAGAGAGAAGAGAGGUGAGCACAGAGGACUGGAGCAGCUGGAGUGAUGAGGAGGAAGGCUCACAAGAGACCAAGAAGUGUGAACUGCCCACUAGGAGGAAAUCAGGAGAGUGUGGUGCCUGGGAAGCAAAGUGAAAAGAACUUCAAGAAGAGGAAGUGAUUUGUUAGGUGAGGUGCCACUGAUAGUCAAGACAAAUGAGAGGAGAGAGAGCUGGGUAGCCUCGCAGCAGAUCAGAGGAGAAGCUAGACGUGGAA